rnacentral:rRNA from 1 species
UUGGCUCAGGACGAACGCUGGCGGCAGGCCUAACACAUGCAAGUCGAGCGGAUGAAGGGAGCUUGCUCCUGGAUUCAGCGGCGGACGGGUGAGUAAUGCCUAGGAAUCUGCCUGGUAGUGGGGGAUAACGUCCGGAAACGGGCGCUAAUACCGCAUACGUCCUGAGGGAGAAAGUGGGGGAUCUUCGGACCUCACGCUAUCAGAUGAGCCUAGGUCGGAUUAGCUAGUUGGUGGGGUAAAGGCCUACCAAGGCGACGAUCCGUAACUGGUCUGAGAGGAUGAUCAGUCACACUGGAACUGAGACACGGUCCAGACUCCUACGGGAGGCAGCAGUAGGA